rnacentral:tRNA from 1 species
GCAGGGGUUGCCAAGCUUGGUCAACGGCGCUGGGUUUAGGUCCCAGUCCUCAGCGGUUCGCAGGUUCAAAUCCUGCCCCCUGCA